rnacentral:rRNA from 1 species
AGAUACCCUAGUAUAUUUAAAAUUAUGAAAUUAUUAUGUGUUGAAAUUUAAAUAUUUUGGCGGUUAAUUAUUGUUUAGGGGAGUUUGUUAUUAUAGAAAAUACUCUUUAUAUUUUACUAUUUUAAAGUUUAUUCAUCUCCGUUAUUAGAUAAUUUAUUGAUAGUUAUUUAUAUAUAUAUAUAUUUCAGGUCAAGAUGUAUCUAUUAAAUGGGGUUAAUUAACUACAAUUUUUUUAAAAUGGAUAAUUUAAUUUAAAUAUAAUUUGAAAUUGAAUUUAAUUGUAAUAUAUACUAGAAUGUUUAUAUGAAUGUUAAUAUUUAAUGUACAGAUUGCCCGUCACUUCUGUUAAAAGAUAGGAUAAGUCGUAACAAAGUAAAUUUAAGG